GAAUACUAAUAAUAUUCUAAUUAGACCAUAAUAAUACUAAGCAACCUUAAUCAAAUUCAAAAAAACCUCAAAGAAAUUUCAAACAAAUAAGAAGAAUUCUUAAAGAAAUAUUAAAAGAAUCACAAAUAUCACUCAAAUACAUCUCAAUUUAAUCUUAAUUUAAUUCUAGUUAAAAUCCUAUUGAAAUUCAUUCAAACUUUAAGCCAAAACUAAUUGAAUCUUAAAUCCUAAUAAAAUCCUAAAUCCUAAAUCAAAUCCUAAACAAACCUUAAACCAAAUCCCAACCAAAUCCUAAACCAAAUCUUAACCAAAUCCUAAACCAAAUCCUAAAUUCUAAAUCAAAUCCUAACCAAAUCCUAAUCCAAAUCCUAAAUCCUAAAUCAAAUCCUAAUUCAAACCUUAAAUCCUAAACCAAAUCCUAAACCAAACUCUAAAUCCUAAAAUAAAUCCUAAUUAAAUCCUAAACCUUAAAUCAAAUCCUAACCAAAUCCUAAUCCAAACCCUAAAUCCUAAACCAAAUCCAAACCAAAUCCUAAACUCUAAAUCGAAUCCUAACCAAAUCCUAAACCAAACCUUAAACCCUAAAUCAAAUUCUAACAAAACUCUAAACCAAACCUUAAAUCCUAAAUCAAACCCCUACUCAAAUCCAAUUUCAAAACCAAACCCUAACCAAACCUUAAACUCUAAAUCAAACCCUUACCCAAAUCCAAAUUCAAAACCAAACCCUAACCAAAUCCUAAACCCAAUUCUAGUAAUUCCUACAACAGAUUUAAACUACAAUAACUAAUGAAUAAACUAUCUAUCUUAACUCAAAUUUUUUACACUUCUAAAAAAAUAUGUUAAAAAAAAGCACAAAAAAAUUUAAAAGGAUCGGAUUUAGCAAAUUGACGAUAACCUCAAAAAUGUGCUCGAGUAUUGGCCAACCUCCUUCUCCAAUCUUAAUGCCAAUCUUCCAAAGCCAAUAUCUCUCCUUUGCACUGUUUGAUUGAUUUCAAAAUUUUUAUACACAUAGAAAAAUACGUCUAAUAUUCUCUCACAUAAGUUUUACUCCAAUCUAAUUAGUAGAUUGCAAGAAAUCAUAAAAAUCCUCACUAGACCUAAAAUUAUACUUUCUGAGACCUUGACCCACUUAAAUCUCAAUAUCCCUCAAUUCAACCAUUAGAUCGAGCUCAAAUUUACGACACAUAUUGAACACAAUGAUAACCAUAAACCUACAAAAUUUCAUCCAAAGAUCUAUUACAAAACGCUUGAAAUCAUCCAAAACAAAAACACUUUUUUAUUUCAUAAAAUCCAAGUCAUCCGAAACAAACCUUGACUUUGCAAAGCUCUUACAAACUAAUAACAAUUCCAAAUUAUCCAAAAAUCAAUGCCUAUAGAAACCUUAUUCAAUCUGCUAUCAAAAUCCACUCUUUGAUCUGCAAAAGAAUCCUAGAAACAUCGUCCAGACUUGGUAUUGUGCCCCAGGGUCUGAUUUCGACCCUGGUUCAUAACCGGCCCUCUCCGGGUAUCAAUAUCUAGUUUUUCUAACUAACUUUUUUCUAGAAUUUACUCUAAACUUCUUUCUAAAGAUUCCUAUAUCAUUUAUUUUUCCAAUCUACUUUGAUUUGCCUUACUAAUGGUGCUACAAAGUAAGUAGAAGUCACCUUUCUAAAAGGUAAUAUUGGUACUUUUUAAUUUUUCUACCCCUUUGACUAUUAACUAUAUUUCUAAGAUAAUUUGUUCUAAUACUUUGAACUAAGAUCUCUUAAAUUAUAAUAAUCUCUACAUUCUUUCACCUACUAAUCGUAUUACAUCACGACAUCUACCCUCCCUGAAUCUGUGCAUCUUCCAACAUGCGCAAAUGAUUCUUCAAUAUGUUGAUGUAGAAUGUUCUUCAUCUUGGUACAAUUCUUGAUCUUCAAUAUGCUCUUCUAUUCCAAUCUCAAUAUCUUAUAUUGGAGUUUGUUCUUCAUCAAAACAAAUAUCUUCAUCUCUUGUUUAAAUAACUUGAUUCGUUUGCCUACUAUGAGUACCUUCAAUUCUGUACCAUCAAGUUCUUGUAAUGAGUAUGUUCCAUUGUUGUGUAUCUUUUUGACAAUAUAAGGUCCAAAUCAUCUCUUUGCAAACUUCUUUAUAGUACUAUGUUGAUUGUCUAAGCUACUAUCAUAAACUAAUACCUAAUCAUCAUCUUCAAUAGCCUUAGGUCAUAGUCGAUGUUUUUUAUCAAAUCUUUCUUUAUUCUUUUUCCUUCCUUCUUUCAAUUUUUCUAUUGUUAUUUCAAUAUCAUUUGGUCUUCUUUCUAGUUGUUGAAUCCGUAAUGCUAAAAGUUCUUCUCUGUUGAGAUCAUUCUUCCAAGGAAAUAUACUCCAUGUAGAUACUAUAUCUUCUAUUGGCAUUGCUAGUUUUUGACCAUAUAUUAAUUCAGAAGGCAUAUAACCUGUUACUGAACUAUAAGUUGUACGAUCUGUCCAUAGUGUAAAUAGUAGUAGUCUAGGCCAUUUAUGUAUUUUGCCAUUGCAUGCCUUUACUAAUGCCUUAACAAUAAGUGAAUGCCCAUGCUCACUUUUACCAUUAGCUUCUGGAUUAUAUGUUGUUGUUAAAGAAAGUUUAAUUCUUAUUCUACUAAAGAAUUCUUGUGCUUCCUUUGCAUCCAAUUCACUCCUAUCUACCUUAAUUUUUCCAAUACAACUAUAGCGACAAAUAACUUUUUCUAAUAUAAAUUGGCAUAUUCUUCUAAUAUCUUUUGUUCUUAAUGCUCGUCCUUCAACCAUAUUUGAUAAAUCUUCUUGUGCGAGUACCAAAUACUUCAUUUGUCCAAGUCCCAUAGGCAUUGCCACUAAAUCCACCACCCACUUAUAGUAUAAAGCCAAUAGGUAUGUUGGAUGUAACCCAUCUUGAUGCUGAAUAUUUGAAUAUAUUUGGCAAGUCUCACAAGAUUCUACAUAUUUUGCUAUGUCUUUGUACAUUCCCUUCCAUCAAUAUUUUUCUCUUAACUUAGUGAAUAUUAUCCAAAUACCUCGAUGCCCUACCCAUAAAUUUUUAUGGAAUCUUUAAUAAUCCUUUAUUGAGCUUCUAAACCACAUAUCACCCUUUGUGGUACUUCUCCUCUCUUUUUUGGAUGCUUCCAUAAAUAUCCAUCAUGUAAAAAAUAUCCAUAGGCUUUCUCAUGGAUUUUCUUAAAUUCUUGAUCCAUCCAACCUUUUUGUCGCUUUAAUGUGCUCAAAUACUCUUCAACAUCUUUCCAUUCAUUUUCAUAUAAAUCUCUUAAAAAUGCUUCCAAUGGUAUAUUAAAAAAUACAUCCUUUUCCUUUGAUAAUGCAUUGGUAUAAAAUUUUGUAUCCAAAUCAUCUUCCAAAUCAAUCAUCUUUUCUUCAUCAAUAUACCUUGUUCUUGAUAACAUAUCUACAACUGAAUUUUCUUUCCCUGCAAUAUGUUUAAAUUCUGGAUUCGUAGAUUUGAUAUAGGCUAUCCACCUCAAUAUAGCAAUAUCAGGAAUUGAACAACUUGUAAUCAUGCCUAACAAAGGUAGACAAUCUGUUUCUAUAAUUACUAAUGCCCCAAUCAAGUACUCUUUUUCAUUUUUCAUAGCUAUUAUUACACCUCACAAUUCUCUUUUGAUUUAUGCAUAUGCCCUUUGCUUGGAAUUCAAUACCUUUACUCUAAAUCUUACUACAUAUGUAUUUCCUUGUUCAUCAUCUUAUCCAACCGUCCAACCUAUUCCAAUUGGACUUACAUCAACUAUUAAUACCACUGGCCUUCCACCUUUAUAAUUUACUUUCUUCAAAGUUGAAGAUGAAGAAAGAAGUUCUUUCAAUUUUUCCAUAGCUUUCCGUUGUUCUUCUUUCCAUUGAAAUUUUUAAUUCUUUCUUAACAACUUAUACAAUAGAUUUGCUAUAUGUGCAAAAUGAGGUAUCCAUAUAUGAUAGAAAAUACAUGCUCCUAAAAAUCUUUUCACUUCCAUUAUAUUUGUACAUUCUUUCAUCUUUUUAAUAAUAUCAAUCUUUUCUAUACUUAGCUUACAUCCAUAUGAACCACACAUGUGUCCUACCACCAAAAUUUCUUUUAUUCCAAACAUUGAUUUUGCCCCCAAUAAGGUUAAAUGAACUUCUUCCAAUCUUUUCAAAAUCUUCUCACAAUCUUUAAUAUGAUAUGCUAAAAUUUUCCUACAUCCCUUUGAAUCCAAAGUUUCAUCUUUUCUUUCUUCUUCACAUCCCUUAAUAGGUACAUCAUCCAAAAAAGGCAUUUUUAUUCUUGGAAUAAAAUCUCUUAAUACCUUAUGUAUUCCAUUCAUCAUAUAUACUACAGAAUUUGUAGCCCCUAUGAUAAUGUACACAUUCUAACUAAUCUUAAUGGUGUCUUCAUAGUUGUCAAAUCCCUACUUUGUAUUGUCAAUUGAAAUUGAUCAUAACCUAAAUAAAGAUCAUCUAUUGAGUAGAUAGCUCUUCCAACAAAUGCUUCUACAAAUUCAUCCACAAUUGGACUUGAAUCCAUAUUCUAAUAGUCACUUUAUUUAUGGGUUGCAUAUCUUGUAUAAAUUUCAUUGUUCCAUUUUUCUUUGACAUUGUAAACUAUCGAUUAGAAUAAGGUGCCAUAGAUGGUUCCAAAAUUCUCAUUUUAAUCUUUUCAUUGAGUAAAUCUAUAAAUUUAGAUAAAUAUGCUCUUGGUAUUAGAAUUGGUUGCAAAUUCCAUGGUUCAUGAGGAAUAGUAAAAAUAACCAUAGGUGCUAUAAUACUUGGAUCAACACACCCAAUUUCAUAUGCCUCAAAUGCAAAAGCCUUUCUAUGAUGUAAAAGCAUAUCCCUAAAAUAUUUUUCUUCACAUUUUAUCAAAAAUCCAUUGCCUCCAACAUUUAAUCCAUCUAAUGUAACAUCUAUAAAUUUAUGCCCUAUCUUCCUUGGAUCUCUUAAAUUUGGUUGUGUCGAUGCUCCACUUAUCUUUUCUUCACAAUCAGAUGGCAGUGGUAAAGCCAUUAGUUUGACCUUCUUUGCUAUUGAUUUAUACUUAGUUUCAACAUAUACCUUUUGGCGACUUAAAUUUUCUAUAAAUUCUUGAAUUUUAUCAUAAAAUUCUUUAAAAUAUACAUUAAUAAAUCUAUUCUCUAUUUGUAACUUACAUUUUAAUAGGUAAUUUAAUUCCUCCAUAGUAUCUGCAAAACCUACUUCUUCAUAUGCUCUUGAAAUAAAUUCAUUUUCAACCAAUUCGCCAUUUUCUUUCAAAUUUUGUUCAAUAUUUUUAAUAUAAUAUCUAUCCUUCUUUUUCAUCUUAUCAAUAGUCUUAAAAGUCAAUACACAAUCUUGUGUCAUCCCAAUAAGUUCGAUAAAUAAUGAUUCUUUUUCUAAAUUAAGUAGAAGCUUUUCUUUCUCUAAUCCAUUGCAACCCUGCCUUAUACUGGUAUGCGGUAAAAAUCCUCAAGGUCUUCAAUUUUCUCAUUUGAUAAUGGCUUCUCUCUCAACUUAUCAUGAUUUCUCUCAUAAUUAGCACAAAUAGUUAAAAAUUGAACUGCUUUCAUCCCAUCUUGGCUUCUUAUUCUUGCAUAGACUGAACCAUCAUUCAUUACCUUUAUUUCCAUUCAUGUAGAAAUAAUAUAUGGUUGUCCCAAUAUAAUAGGAUAUGUAGACUUGUCUUGCACAAAGAAAUUCUGUUCAUGAAUAACAUCUCCUAUUGUCACGUUGAUAUUUGGACAUGCUCUAUACAAAUCUCCCUUUGAAUUGUUUGCAACUCUUAUCAUCCACCCAUGUUUAGUAUCAAUAGGCCAUUUUCUCUUGCUAUAUAAUUCUUUUGAUAUCAAAUUGAUUUUAGAACCAUGAUCAAUCAAUGCUGUAAUUGAUUCUUCUAAAUUUCUCAAUUUUAUUAAAAUCUCCAUUGUAGCCCUUGCCCAAUGACUUCUAGAAUAAUGGCUAGAAGCUUGAAUGAUAUCUUCUUUUUUUGUAAAUCUUACUCGCAAGACAUCUCUAAAAUUUUGUAUUUCAUCUUCUUCAUCUUCAUUUCUUUCCAUUGUUUUUGUUCCUUGUGCAUUUGAUGUCAUAAAGUCUCCUAUAGAUUGUCAUUUUUUCUUUAUUGUAUCAAUAAUAACUUCAUGAAACUCAUGCUUUGUAAUUCCUAGAAUUUCAUCAAUUGUGAAUUCAACCUUUCUACUUAAAAUCCACUCCUCCAAUACCUUCUUCAAAUUUGUAGCAGCUUCAAUAUCUGAUUGUAAUUUAUAAGCAGGAGCCUUUGUUUGUUUGUUUAUUUUUUUAUUUUUUUCAAUUUCCUUUCAUUUUAUAGAAAUGUUCUCUGUUGUCUCUUCAUGAAUAGAAUUCUUUUGUUGUUGUGCUUUUUCUUCCCUUGUAGUUCUUUUUGAGGGCCCUUCAUUAUUUUCAUCUUUCCUUCAUUAUUCUUCUAUUAAUGCUUCAUGUUGACUCCUUGCAAUAUGAGCAUGUACAGAUAAUUUAUCUACUGGAUCAUCCCACCUAGUAAUUUGUCAAAUAUUAUUACCAAUAUGUUUUAAAUCAUCUCUAGUAAAAUUUCUCCUUUCAGCAUAAUUCAUUGCAUUUGUCCACAAAGAACUAGAUUCUCCUGGAAACUCAAGAUUUAUACUUAAACAUCUACUAGGAUCUGCUUCCACCCAAUAUGUUGAUGCUUCAUUGCUUGAGAUUGUAUGCACUUUAAAAGUAUCUCCAAUAAAUAACUUCAUUCCCCUUUUACCAAAAUUUUUUUCUAAUUUUUCUCUACUUUCUUUUGAGUGUAUCAUACUAUCUUUAAAAAAAAAAACUUUUUUAUGUAAUAUCUUUGUAAAAUCCUUAGAUUCCCUCCUGGAGUGAUCUAUACUAUCACACCACAUGCACCUAUGUACUACACCCUCCAUUAGCCUUGGUCUUUGUUUUGUUGAUAAUCUUGAUGAUUGACCCUUCUCUUUAAGUUUUACAAAUUUUAUUUGCAAAUCUCUCAUCCCAUGUAUGAUUUCAUCAAUUCCCAUUUCUUCUUUCUUUGAUGUAGCCAUUGAAGGUUGAAUCAAAGAUGUUGGAUGGGUACUAGAUACUUUUACCUUAGAUGCUUGUAAUGGUCUUUGGUCACCCCUCAUAUCUUUUUUCUUUUUUCUUUUUGUGAAUGACCUUAUAACCUCCUCUACCCUUUUCUAAUUUGUUGUCAAUCCUUCAUCUUCUUCUUUAUCUUCAAGCAUGAUUUCUAAGUUCUCUUGCAACUUUCCAUCAGCUGCUUGAAGAAAGAGCUCCAUCUUACUUCGAUCCAAUAAUUAUCUUUCUUUCUUUGAUAAAUAAGAAUAUUACUUUUCAAACUCCCUUAAUAAUUCUGUUGCUAGAAGGUCCUUCUCUGGCCUUUCAAUCCAUUCAAAAAAAGACCUUUUUUUAAUCCUAUCACUAUCUUCCAAAAAAAACUCAUUCUUCAAUGCUUGAAAAAAUUUCUUCCAUGAACCUCCAAAAUGUUGUAUAAGAGACUUUACUUGAUUUCUUGUCUCUUGUGCAAAGGCUAAUUCAAAUAAUUGAACCAUUUUUUUUUUGAAAUACGCUUCAAUUCUAUUUCUUUUACAUAACAUCUUAAAUAUUUUAUAAUAUCCUUCCUUUCAAAUUGAUCAAUCUUGUCUACAACCGCUUGUAAUGCUUUGUUAGCCAUACUUUCUGUGUGAUCUUUAACUUGUUGCUGUUGCUAUUGAAUAAAUAAGGUCAAAGCUUCAAACAUGCUUGCAGAGUUAGGAUCAAAAUGCAUAUCUUGUCCUCUAAUCGAAGCUCCUCUUUCAAUUCCACUUAAAGCACCAUCAAAAAUUCUUCCUUCUAUUCUCAUUGAAUUCCUUCUCUAAAACUUCAAUAAUCCAAAAUAAUAAACUAAAUUCCUUCCACCACAAGCGAUUCAAGUCGGAUUCACUAAAUAUAUCGUAAUAUGUGAAGUCUUGCUUGAGAAUGCUACAAGCACUUGGUUGUAGAAGGAAGAAUGGAAAUUACAACAACAAAAUUCUGAUUCUAAUAGAAUACUAAUUAAACUCUAAUUAGAUCAUAAUAAUGCUCAAAAAGCUUCAAUUAAAUUAAAAAAAACCUCAAAGAAAUUUCAAACAAACAGUAAGAAUUCUUAAAGAAAUACUAGAAGGAUCACAAAUAUCAUUCAAAUACAUCUCAAUUCAAUCUUAAUUUCAUUCUAGUUAAAAUUAUAUUGAACUUCAUUCAAACUUUAAGCCAAAACUAAUUGAAUCUUAAAUCCUAAUAAAAUACUAAACCCUAAAUCAAACCCUAAACAAACCUUAAACCAAAUCCCAACCAAAUCCUAAACCAAAUCCUAACCAAAUCCUAAAUCCUAAAUAAAACCCUUACCAUAUCCUAAUCUAAAUCCUAAAUCCUAAACCAAACCCUAAUCAAAAUUCUAAAUCCUAAAUCAAACCCUAAACCAAACCCUAAAUCCUAAAGUAAAUCCUAAUUAAAUCCUAAACCUUAAAUCAAAUCCUAAUUAAAUCCUAAUCUAAAUCUUUAAUCCUAAAUCAAAUCCAAACCAAAUUCUAAAUCCUAAAUCAAACUCUAACCAAACCCUAAAUCAAACCUUAAACCCUAAAUCAAAUCCUAAUCCAAAUACUUGAUCUUAAACCAAAUCCUAACCAAACCCUAAACCAAACUCU
rnacentral:lncRNA from 1 species